UACGGGGGGGGCAAGCGUUGUUCGGAAUUACUGGGCGUAAAGGGCUCGUAGGCGGCCAACUAAGUCAGACGUGAAAUCCCUCGGCUUAACCGGGGAACUGCGUCUGAUACUGGAUGGCUAGAGGUUGGGAGAGGGAUGCGGAAUUCCAGGUGUAGCGGUGAAAUGCGUAGAUAUCUGGAGGAACACCGGUGGCGAAGGCGGCAUCCUGGACCAAUUCCGACGCUGAGGAGCGAAAGCCAGGGGAGCAAACGGG
rnacentral:rRNA from 1 species